AUGGAGAAGGUCCGGAGAAGGAUGGCCCGCGGUCGGGAGGAAGGUCCGACGAAGGGUGGCCUACGACUGGGAGGAUCGGUGGCGGUCAGACGAAGGGCGUGGAGAAACUGUGCCAAGAUCGCAGUGGUGACAAUGGUUGUUUGGCUAUGGAGGCGAGGAAACAAGGAAAUGAUUUUGGGUUUUAGAUUGAAUACACACAAUACAACAUACCAAUGCGGAUCCGAUUUGUUUCUGGUACCAGACAAUAAGGGUGAAGCUGUUGGAGGUGGUUCUCGACGUGUUCGCAAACUGCUUUUAUCAGUGAAGUCAGUGUUUCCGUAA